AUAGCGUAUAUUAAAGUUGUUGCAGUUAAAAAGCUCGUAGUUGAAUUUCUGGCUGGCGCUGUUCUUGGCUCUCUGAGUCGGUGCAGUGCUUAGUCAUCCGUAUGGGAAGCUAGCUCGGCCUUCACUGGUCGGCUAGUGGAUCAUACACUUUACUUUGAAAAAAUUAGAGUGUUUCAGGCAGGCAAUUGCUUGGAUACUGCAGCAUGGAAUAAUGGAAUAGGACUUUGACCUAUUUGUUGGUUUCUCGAGGUCAAAGUAAUGAUUAAUAGGGAUAGUUGGGGGCAUUCGUAUUUAAUUGUCAGAGGUGAAAUUCUUGGAUUUAUUAAAGACGAACUUAUG
rnacentral:rRNA from 1 species